rnacentral:rRNA from 1 species
GACGAACGCUGGCGGCGUGCUUAACACAUGCAAGUCGAACGGAAAGGCCCUGCUUGCCGGGUGCUCGAGUGGCGAACGGGUGAGUAACACGUGGGUGAUCUGCCCCUUACUUUGGGAUAAGCCUGGGAAACUGGGUCUAAUACUGGAUAGGACCAUGCUGUAGGUGGUGUGGUGGAAAGAUUAGUUUCGGUAAGGGACGAGCUCGCGGCCUAUCAGCUUGUUGGUGGGGUAAUGGCCUACCAAGGCGUCGACGGGUAGCCGGCCUGAGAGGGUGGACGGCCACAUUGGGACUGAGAUACGGCCCAGACUCCUACGGGAGGCAGCAGUGGGGAAUAUUGCACAAUGGGCGCAAGCCUGAUGCAGCGACGCCGCGUGGGGGAUGACGGCCUUCGGGUUGUAAACUCCUUUCAGCCAUGACGAAGCCCUUGUGGUGACGGUAGUGGUAGAAGAAGCACCGGCUAACUACGUG